rnacentral:ncRNA from 2 species
AAUGAAUACGACCUUCAAGGUGCCCGACUUAAUAGAGAAGAGCAGUAGAAGCUGCCGCGGUCCCGCCGCUGUAAGAGGGAGCACAAUCAAAAUACCACUGGAAGUUUCUGGGAAGGUGAUUGUUGCGUUGAACUUGAGCCAGAAGACCUGCCUUGAUGGAUUGCCGAUA